rnacentral:rRNA from 1 species
GACGAACGCUGGCGGCGUGCUUAACACAUGCAAGUCGAACGGUGAUCUUGGGAGCUUGCUCCUGGGUGAUCAGUGGCGAACGGGUGAGUAACACGUGAGUAACCUGCCCCAGACUCUGGGAUAACCCCGGGAAACCGGAGCUAAUACCGGAUAUGACACUUGCACGCAUGUGCUGGGUGUGGAAAGUUUUUCGGUCUGGGAUGGGCUCGCGGCCUAUCAGCUUGUUGGUGAGGUAGUGGCUCACCAAGGCGACGACGGGUAGCCGGCCUGAGGGGGCGACCGGCCACACUGGGACUGAGACACGGCCCAGACUCAUACGGGAGGCAGCAGUGGGGAAUAUUGCACAAUGGGCGAAAGCCUGAUGCAGCGACGCCGCGUGAGGGAUGACGGCCUUCGGGUUGUAAACCUCUUUCAGCAGGGAAGAAGCGCAAGUGACGGUACCUGCAGAAGAAGCACCGGCUAACUACGUGCCAGCAGCCGCUGUAAUAC